ACACCCCUCAAGCCUGGCUUGGUAUUGGGCGUCGGGACCCCUCCCGCGCCCCGAUUUCGCCGGCUGGACGACUCCGAUCUCUCAAGCGUUGUACAAUCUCGCUGGCGAGACGGGCGGCCACGCCGUUAACCUUUAAUCAAAUCG
rnacentral:misc_RNA from 1 species